UACAGAGGUCCCAAGCGUUGUUCGGAUUCACUGGGCGUAAAGGGUGCGUAGGUGGUGAGGUAAGUCGGAUGUGAAAGCUCGGAGCUCAACUCCGAAAUGGCAUUGGAAACUACCUUGCUCGAGGGUUGGAGGGGGGACUGGAAUGCUUGGUGUAGCAGUGAAAUGCGUAGAUAUCAAGCGGAACACCAGUGGCGAAGGCGAGUCCCUGGACAACUCCUGACACUGAGGCACGAAAGCGUGGGGAGCAAACAGG
rnacentral:rRNA from 1 species